rnacentral:rRNA from 1 species
UGGGGAAUUUUGGACAAUGGGCGAAAGCCUGAUCCAGCAAUGCCGCGUGUGUGAAGAAGGCCUUCGGGUUGUAAAGCACUUUUGUCCGGAAAGAAAUCCUUGGCCUAAUACAGUCGGGGGAUGACGGUACCGGAAGAAUAAGCACCGGCUAACUACGUGCCAGCAGCCGCGGUAAUACGUAGGGUGCAAGCGUUAAUCGGAAUUACUGGGCGUAAAGCGUGCGCAGGCGGUUUGCUAAGACCGAUGUGAAAUCCCCGGGCUCAACCUGGGAACUGCAUUGGUGACUGGCAGGCUAGAGUAUGGCAGAGGGGGGUUAGAAUUCCACGUGUAGCAGUGGAAUGCGUAGAGAUGUGGAGGAAUACCGAUGGCGAAGGCAGCCCCCUGGGCCAAUACUGACGCUCAUGCACGAAAGCGUGGGGAGCAAACAGGAUUAGAUACCCUGGUAGUCCACGCCCUAAAACGAUGUCAACUAGUUGUUGGGGAUUCAUUUUCCUUAGUAACGUAGCUAACGCGUGAAGUUGACCGCCUGGGGAGUACGGUCGCAAGAUUAAAACUUAAAGGAAUUGACGGGGUCAUAGCUGUUUCCU